GACCCAGGAUGCGGCUGCUCGUGGCAGUCAGGAGAUGGGAGUGAGAGCCAGCCUGACCACGAAUUAGCUACCUCUCACUAACACUUCAGGAAGCCUCCCUUAGGCAAAAUUCCUCUUAGCCUUGUGCAAGGUAUCUUGCACUUAAUGUUCACCAGAAGUGCUCAUGAGCCACAGUGUUCUGCAUGUCACCAUCUCAAUACUUUGCUACUAAUUUUCCCGUACAGGCAAACAACCCUGGCUUAUUCAGCGGCAGAAGGAUGAAGGAUUAUCUUUGAUCUUGUCUUAUCCCCUGGAUCCCGUGGGCUGGUAUUUGUUCCAUGUCUGCAAACACACAGAAAGGAUGGAAAUCAUAAAAGAAGAGUACAGAGAACUCCUCAAAGACGUGCCAUGAAACUGAUGCCUUGGAGGUCCUGAGCAGUAUUCUCUGUGCCUCAGUUCCCUGUCUGUAAGAUGAGGACACUCACAGGAGUGGUUUGAGGAGGAAAGUGUUCAUUGUGAUGAUGUCUGGCGAAACGACAAUGUACUAUCAUCUGCAGACAUGCUACAUUGACGUAGCAGCUCUGCUAGUGUGUGUCAGUGGUGUUUUAGUGUAAGACACAGUACAGGGGUCUUCAUCUUGCAGUCUUUCAGGAGCUUCUGGGCACAUUAGUCUAGAUUUAGACCUCAAUUUAUCCCAAGAAGUAGAUGCCAAGGAAAUUCUUCCUGGUAGCUACUGAUAUUUGUGGCUUACUAGAGCUAAGGAGAAGUGAAGUGAGCUCUGCUAUUCAGUUUCUACCCAGUGAGGCUUUUCUUUUUCAUCGUGUUUGAGUUACACUCCUUUCUGUGGCUAUACCAUGACACGCGCCAUUCUUCAAAGUCAGAGUCAUUCCCACCUGAAUGCAUGCAAACCAAACCUAUGACAUCGUUCAGCGGUUCAAAGAGCUACAGCACCACCUCAUCAUCCAUCUUGGACACAACUCCUUCAAGCAGAGUUGCCGACCUGUCUCAGCCAAAGGCUUCGCAGCUUUUAGCUGCUGAAUACUCAGAGAGAGAUGAACCAGACUUUUUAGCUGGACAGCCUCAGAACUGGAAAUUACAACAGGGCUCUGCUUCUUCCAGCAUGUCUUUAUUGGCCUGAAGUCAGCCCCUUUCUUCUGGAAAUAAAGUGUCUUGGGGAAACGCUUGGAUCAAAGAUAAGAGAGAACAAGGAAAGGAAUGAAGCAAGAGAGAAACAACAAAACAAAACCACCACCCCCCAAACUUUUUGACUAAACUCCUUUGUGAAUCGUGUGCAUGAUUACAGUAAAGUUAAAACUGCCUUCUUCUUCGCCAGUACUUAAUUCCUGCUUUUAAAAUCAGGCUCUCUUUGAUCUUGAGGAUUGAAAUGAUCUGGAAAUGAAACAGCCAUUGCUUUGCAGAAAAUCUGGAUAGGGUCCCAGACAUGGCUUUUACCUGGAAGGCUUCCAAAACAGGAUGAAAUCUCUCUAGUUUCAGAACAAAU
rnacentral:lncRNA from 1 species